rnacentral:lncRNA from 10 species
CCUGAGGCCAUCACCAGAUGCCAGUCUUGAACCUUCUAGCCAGAAGAAUCAUAAGCCAAAUAAUCAUUUUUUCUUAAUAAAUUACACAGCCUCAGAUAUUCUUUAUAGUGACACAAAACAGACUAAGACAAUCUUAAUUCCUCCUGUCUCAACUCUUGCUAGGUUUGCUCUACCACUGAAGCUCUACAAUCUUACAUAAUAUUUUUGAAACAAUAAUCCUGGCAUUUUCCUCUAGAAUUUUCUGUACGGGUAGAAAUCUAAGCUGUCCGGUAUGGCAUCAGUGAGCCACUUGUGGCUACUGAGCACUUGAAAUGUGGAUGGUGUGGAUAAGAUGUGCAACAGAGGGAUAGAUGAUUGAGAAUGAAGAAAAGAAGAAGACAAAAAUGAAGACAAAGAAGGAGAAGGAGGAGAAAGAGGAACGGAGACGGAGAGAAAGAGAGACUGAUCUGGACUCAUAUCGCCUGGAUCUUGAACCCUGACUUUUUGCUGUUAUUGUUGUUCUAUAUGACAUUGAUCAUAUUAGUAAAUUUCCUGUGCUUCCAUUUCCUCAUCUGUAAUGUGAGAAUAAAAAUAGUAAUGCUGCUUUUGGAUUCUUGGGAAUAUUAAAUACCCAAGAAAAAUAUUUUUAAUAUUUUUAUUACAAGAUGAAGCCCAAACUCUUUUUCUGGCAUCCAAUAUCCUCAUUAUUUUUGUGCCCAGUUAUUUUCUCACUCCUAUAUUCUUAUUUUUCCCCAUUCUUUUAUUCCUUCCACAUUCCAAUCAAAUGAAUAUCAUGGGACUGACUACAGGUUGUCACAAUGAUCUCUUCCUCUGUCUUAAACCAAAACUUAUUUCAACCUCACCUUCCCAUCGCAGGUGAUGCUAAAUCACCAGUUGCUGGGACUAAGAACCUGAAUCAUUCAGGAUCCUUCUCUUGUGUUUUCCCUCAUAUCCCAGGCAUGGUCUAUAGAUUCUAAUUCUGAAAAAGAGCUGAAUUUUCCUCCUCUCUCCAUCCCACCUAGAAUAACCUUCCACCAUCUCUUAUCUGGGUUACUGUAACAGCCUCUUCAGUGGGCUCCCUGCCUCCAGCCUUUUUUUUUUUUUUUUUUUUUGAGACAGAGUCUUGCUCUUGUUGCCCAGGCUGGAGUGCAGUGGCGUGAUCUUGGCUCACUGCAACGUGUGCCUCCUGGGUUCAAGCGAUUUUCCUGCCUCAGCCUCCUGAGUAGCUGGGAUUACACCACCAUGCCCAGCUAAUUUUUGUAUUUUUAGUAGAGAUGCGGUUUCCAUCAUGUUGGCCAGGCUGGUCUCAAACUCCUGACCUUAGGUGAUCCACCUGCCUCGGCCUCCCAAAGUUUAGCUGCACAUACCUGGCAGAGUUGGUGAUCUAAAAGCACAAAUCACAUCCUGCUUUUUCCCUUCUCAAAGCUUCCAACAGCUUGUCACUGUGCCUAGAACAAAAUUCAAACUCUUUAUCAUGCUUUACAUGAUCCGGCAUUUGCCUACCUUUCCAAUGCCAUCUGUGAUUAAUUUUCCUAUUGCUCGCUCUCCUGAGGACAAACUUGUUUUCUCUCUGAUCCUUGAGCAAAGCAGGCUUGAUACAGCCUUUGCCCUUCCUACUUUAUUGUCUGGAAACCUCUCCUAUUUGCUGUUUUCUUGACAGCCUCUUUCUCAUGAUUCAAAUCUCUGUCCAAAUGCCAUCUUCUGCAAAAGACCCUACCUGGCUAGUCUAUAAAGCACCCCUUUCACCACCUUCAUUCAUUCAUUGUCAUAUAAUGCUUUUUGUUUUCUUCGUAAAUCUACAUAGCUUUUUCUAUUCUGAGAUUAUCUUAUCUGUUUACAUCUUCAGCCUGUCUUCCCUCCCCAGGAUAUGACAAUGAAGCUGCGUACCUUCUCUGACUUGGUUAUCAUUUCAUGCCUAGGAGUCAAUAGAUAUUUAAUAAAUAUAUUUUGGAUGAAUUCAUUCAUUCCCUCAUUCAUUUAUUCAUUCAUUCUGAGCCUUUGAAGGGUCAUGCUGAUUCUUUUCUUCGACCUUAGUCUUUUCUUCUCUUUGUGAGAUGAUAAACUCAUAAAUCUCCUUCCAAAACUCAACUCAAGCAUUAAUCUCUACAUCCUUUCACAGCACUCCAACUCCCUGGUGAUUUCACAGAGCCCUGAGCUUAUGACUGCCACUAUGCUUCUGUGUAAUUGCAGUUAUAUGUCUCCGCCCCUCCAACUAUGAGUUCUUCCAAUGUAAGAGCCACAUCUCUUGUCUCUGAAUUCCCAUUGCUCACUGGAGAACCUGGCAUCUAGCUAGGCAGAAAAGCAAAACGAUUUGUGUCAGGUAACUUAGGUUAAAUCUAUGACUUUGCUAAUUGAUUGCCUUUGAAGGCAAUUCAUAACAUUUCUGAUUAUUUAUUUCCUUACCUGUUAAAUGGACCUUUUCAGCAUAAUUUUCUUUUGGAAUUGUUUUUGUUUUUAUAAGCAUGUAGGUACAUGUUCUUCCACUUUUGCACAAAUGGAAAUAUAUUAUGCGUAUUAGCUCUCUCCCUGCUACUUUCACUUAACAAUUUGUUUUAAUUUCAUCCUGAGAUCUUUCCACAUCUGUUGGAUCAUUCAUUUUGAUGGUUGCAUAUUAUUAUAUAAUAUAGAUUAUCAUAAUUAUUAACUGGCUCCCUAUUGAUUGGCAUUUAUUUUCAAUCUUCUAUGAUUCCAAAACAAAAAUGUUGUAAUUAAUAGCCUUGAAUGUGUAUGUGAUCAAUGGCAAAUCUACUAGUAAGAUAACACUUCAGAAGUGGAAUUACUGAAUCAAAAGGUAUAUCCAUUUGUGAUAUAAGUUGCCAAAUUAUUCUUAAUAGAAUUAUACUAUUUAAACUCCUACCAAAAAUUAAUAAGAGUACAAGUUGUUGUACAUACUCACUAUCAUAAUAGGUUAUCAAAUAUUUUGACCUUUGCCGUUCUGACAGGUAGGAAAUGUUGAGUUGUAAUUUCUAUUUUUGUUUCUCUUCCCAUGAGUUAAGUUGAAUAUGUUUCUUGAAUAUAUUUCUAUGUGUUUAAGAAACAUUCAUAUAUAUUUUUCUUUCUUUCUUUUAUUUUUGAGACAAAGUCUCUGUCACCCAGGCUGGAGUGCAGUGGGGCAAUCUUGGCUCACUGCAACCUCCAUUUCCCAUGCUCAAGUGCUCCUCCCACCUCAGCCUCCCGAGUAGCUGGGACUACAGAUGCAUGCCACCACACCCAGCUAAUUUUUGUAUUUUUUAGUAGAGAUGGGGUUUUGCCAUGUUGGCCAGGCUGGUCUUGAACUCCUGGCCUCAAGGCAUUCUCUCAACUUGACCUCCCAAAAUGCUGGGAUUACUGGUGUGACCCAUUGCACCCGGCCCAUUCAUAUGUAUUUUUCUGUGAAUUAUUCCAUAACAUUAUUUUCUCAUUAAUCUAUUCCAUUGUUAGUCUUUUCUAUUCAAUAUGUAGAAGCUCUUUAUAUAUAAUAUUAACACUUUGUCUAUAUUGUCUAUGCAGAUAUUUGUCCUAGUUUUUUGUUUGUUCGUAUAGUAAAAUUUAUGACUUGUGAAUUUAAACUUGUAAAGGCCUUCUCAUUCUAGCAUUUAUUUUUAAUUCUCUAAUGUUCUUCAAGUAUACAGUUUCACUUUUUAUGUCUAAGUCUUGAAUUCAGGUUCAUCUAUAACUUAUUUCACUGUAACUUGUGAGAGAGCUAUCUGUAUUACUGUUUGCACAUGGUUAGUCAGUUGUUCCUACACUAUUUAUGGAAUAAUUGUGUUCAGUAAUCAUAAUUCUCAAGUUUAUUGUAGUCUUAAUUCUACAGUUAAAUGGGUUCAGCUAUCUCUAUCAUUUGCUAUAGUUUCUUCUCCCACUGUUCUCAGAAUUGUUUUGAAGGUAAAAGGUAAUAUGAAUUAGCCUAACAGGGGCUAGGCGCUCAACGAAUUUUAACUCGAUUGCUAUUGAGAGUCUUGUUAAAUUAUUUUGUUUGUUUCAAUAUACAAGUCACUCUAUUUAGUUAAUAAAUAUUAUAAUAACCCAAAGGAAUAACUGUCACAGCAUUUAUUGGGCAACUAUUUAAAUAUACAAGCUUUGGAAGAUUUAUCUAAGCAAUUAUUUAUGCUGGCAUGUGUAGGAUCCUGAAAUGAACGGGA